UACGGAGGGUGCGAGCGUUAAUCGGAAUUACUGGGCGUAAAGCGUGCGUAGGCGGUUUGAUAAGUCAGAUGUGAAAUCCCGGAGCUUAACUUCGGAACUGCAUUUGAAACUGUUUAACUAGAGUACUGUAGAGGGUGGUGGAAUUUCCAGUGUAGCGGUGAAAUGCGUAGAGAUUGGAAGGAACAUCAGUGGCGAAGGCGGCCACCUGGACAGAUACUGACGCUGAGGCACGAAAGCGUGGGUAGCGAAAGGG
rnacentral:rRNA from 1 species